rnacentral:rRNA from 1 species
GAGUUUGAUCCUGGCUCAGGAUGAACGCUGGCGGCGUGCUUAACACAUGCAAGUCGAACGGAGUUAAUCAGUGGAAGCCUUCGGGUGGAAGCUGGUUAACUUAGUGGCGGACGGGUGAGUAACGCGUGGGUAACCUGCCUUAUACAGGGGGAUAACAGUUGGAAACGACUGCUAAUACCGCAUAAGCGCACAGUGCUGCAUGGCACCGUGUGAAAAGAUUUAUCGGUAUAAGAUGGACCCGCGUCUGAUUAGCUAGUUGGUGGGGUAAUGGCCCACCAAGGCGACGAUCAGUAGCCGGCUUGAGAGAGUGAACGGCCACAUUGGGACUGAGACACGGCCCAAACUCCUACGGGAGGCAGCAGUGGGGAAUAUUGCACAAUGGGGGGAAACCCUGAUGCAGCGACGCCGCGUGAGUGAAGAAGUAUUUCGGUAUGUAAAGCUCUAUCAGCAGGGACGAUAAUGACGGUACCUGACUAAGAAGCCCCGGCUAACUACGUG